rnacentral:rRNA from 1 species
CCUACGCGGUGCAGCAGUGAGGAAUAUUGGUCAAUGGACGAGAGUCUGAACCAGCCAAGUAGCGUGAAGGAUGACUGCCCUAUGGGUUGUAAACUUCUUUUAUAUGGGAAUAAAAUGUUCCACGUGUGGGAGUUUGUAUGUACCAUAUGAAUAAGGAUCGGCUAACUCCGUGCCAGCAGCCGCGGUAAUACGGAGGAUCCGAGCGUUAUCCGGAUUUAUUGGGUUUAACGGGAGCGUAGGUGGAUUGUUAAGUCAGUUGUGAAAGUUUGCGGCUCAACCGGAAAAUUGCAGUUGAAACUGGCAGUCUUGAGUACAGUAGAGGUGGGCGGAAUUCGUGGUGUAGCGGUGAAAUGCUUAGAUAUCACGAAGAACUCCGAUGGCGAAGGCAGCUCACUGGACUGCAACUGACACUGAGGCUCGAAAGUGUGGGUAUCAAACAGGAUUAGAUACCCGGGUAGUC